CAGUAGCCACGGGAAUACGUAGGUGGCAAGCGUUGUCCGGAAUUAUUGGUCGUAAAGGGCUCGCAGGCGGUUUCUUAAGUCUGAUGUGAAAGCCCACGGCUCAACCGUGGAGGGUCAUUGGAAACUGUUAAACUUGAGUGCAGGAGAGAAAAGUGGAAUUCCUAGUGUAGCGGUGAGAUGCGUAGAGAUUAGGAGGAACACCAGUGGCGAAGGCGGCUUUUUGGCCUGUAACUGACACUGAGGCGCGAAAGCGUGGGGAGCAAACAGGAUUAGAUACCCGCGUAGUCCCUGUCUCUUAUAC
rnacentral:rRNA from 1 species